GGAAAGAUUAUUUAUCUACUCAAGCACGUGUGUUGUGUCUCUGAGAGGGAAUGACACAUUUUGGAGAGUGGGGGGAACAUCAGAAUAUUUAAACACAGGCAACUUAUCACAGUGCAAAAGUCUACAUGAGACUCACUCAGGAUGUCACCGUGGGCCCGAAGGGCACAAGAAGAACAGCAGUUGGCUGAAGCGACAGGAAUGACCAAGAUGGAAGAACACAACUCAUUUCAGAUACAGAAAUGUUUAAUGGCGUUAAAGUGCUACUUUAAUGGGGACCAUAUGCUAACAUUUAAACACAAUUCCACUGCACUGCUAAAUAUGGUUGUCUUUAAUUUUUCACUUUAUUUUACCUCUUUUUACCCACCCCUAUCUAAAACAAUAAAAUAAAAUCUAAAGGACUGAAAUUAACAACCCAUUCAAAUCAGCAAUAAGUUAUGAAUUUUAUAAAGCAUUUUUUUCCUCUUUUUUUUCUUAGUAAUGAAGGGUAAUUAAAUUACUUAAGGAUAUACAAAGUUUCAAACAAUGCCAUAGGUGAAGACUCUAUUAAGGUUUUUAAAACUUGGAAAACAAAAUAAUCCUGGCCAUUAAAAAGACAAAAAUAAAAAAGCAAAGCCCUCAAAGUGCAGGUUAGAAUGCUUGUCUUGGAGAAAAUUAGAAAACAUUCGCUAUAACAGCUCUUAACAGCACCUGCACAGAUAAGAUGGCAAGGCCCUUGGGAACAGGACGUGCAGUCAAAACGUUACAUUAACAUGAGAGACGUGCUGAGCUUAACUAGGUUAACUACUGGACUGGAACUUCAAAAGUCAGCAAAGGGAAUGAUUCUAAAAAGAAAACUGAAGAAACCCCCAACAAACUUGGCCUCUUCCAGCUUAGCACAGCCUUCAUCCAUUGUGUGCAUGGCAAAAAAAGGAUCUUUGCAUUUCAUUGGGUCAAGUGCUUCAUCAAAACAGAGAUCUUUUCAUGGCAUAAAUUCAUAUAAAAGACAUCUAAGGUUUCAUAUGGACAAGCUCUAAAAAGAUGCAUGACUUGGGGUGUUUUCCCUCCCAACACAUUUACAAAUGUUUUAUCAAAAAAUCGCUUCAAAUAAAAAGGUCAUAGUGGCUCAGUAUCUGGGCAUGACUGUCUGGUGUGUCAGCUCUCAGUGCUGGUUUCGCUCUGCCCUCAGCUGGCCGAGUGCCUGCGAGGGGCACACAUCUCCCGGGGACCUGCUGGCGCUGGCACAGCCCGGGUGUGACAGCCCACCCUGUGCUGGUACGUUACAGGUGUGCACCUCUCGCUCUAGCCACGCUGCAGAGGUACUCACUCUUUAAAUGGUGUCCAACAGAAAGCUGAGUUGAAUGGUGUUCUCCCCUGAACAUCGCUGC